rnacentral:rRNA from 1 species
UGAGGAAUAUUGGGCAAUGGGCGAAAGCCUGACCCAGCCACGCCGCGUGUGUGAUGAAGGCCUUCGGGUCGUAAAGCACUGUGGGGAGGGACGAACAUGCGCAUGAGGAAAUGCUUGCGCACUGACGGUACCUCCUUAGCAAGCACCGGCUAACUCUGUGCCAGCAGCCGCGGUAAUACAGAGGGUGCGAACGUUGCUCGGAUUUACUGGGCGUAAAGCGCGUGUAGGCGGACUCGCAAGUCGGUUGUGAAAUCCCUGGGCUCAACCUAGGAACUGCAUCCGAAACUGCUUGUCUUGAGUAAUGGAGAGGGUGGCGGAAUUCCCGGUGUAGAGGUGAAAUUCGUAGAUAUCGGGAGGAAUACCAGCGGCGAAGGCGGCCUUCUGGACGGUGACUGACGCUGAGGUGCGAAAGCGUGGGGAGCAAACAGGAUUAGAUACCCCCGUAGUCC